UAAAUAAUGGGGGCCCACCCUCAAGUCUAAAAAGUUUUAAUGAUUGAUAGCGUAUAGUACCGUGAGGGAAAGGUGAAAUAGAAUUUAUUAAUUUAAAUCUUAAAAAUACUGAAAUUUAAUGUUGACAAGCAAUUGAAGCUUUUAAAAAGUAACAAUGUACCUUUUGCAUAAUGGAUCAACGAGUUUAUUUUAGUGGCGAGCUUAAACAGUGAAUUAAUGUGUAGGCGAAAAGAAAUUAAGUUUUAAAAGGCUUUUAAGUCUCUAAAAUAAGACCCGAAACUAAAUGAUCUAACCAUGAUCAGGCUGAAUUUAUAGCGGUAACGCUUAUUGGAGGGCUGAACCCUUACAUGUGGAAAAAUGUUGGGAUGAAUUGUGGUUAGGGGUGAAAGGCCAAUCAAAUUUAGA
rnacentral:rRNA from 1 species